rnacentral:snoRNA from 1 species
GUCAAUGAUGAGUUGGCAUGUAUUCUGAAUCUAAAGUUGAUGUUUAUCACCAUUUAGCUCUAGAAUUACUCUGAGGC